rnacentral:rRNA from 1 species
CAGUAGCCGCGGGAAAACGUAGGUGGCAAGCGUUGUCCGGAAUUAUUGGGCGUAAAGGGCUCGCAGGCGGUUUCUUAAGUCUGAUGUGAAAGCCCCCGGCUCAACCGGGGAGGGUCAUUGGAAACUGGGAAACUUGAGUGCAGAAGAGGAGAGUGGAAUUCCACGUGUAGCGGUGAAAUGCGUAGAGAUGUGGAGGAACACCAGUGGCGAAGGCGACUCUCUGGUCUGUAACUGACGCUGAGGAGCGAAAGCGUGGGGAGCGAACAGGAUUAGAUACCCCCGUAGUCCCUGUCUCUUAUAU